GAAAACUCAGUUUCGAAGGGACAAAGUCAAGGAGACUUCAAAGAUGAGAAAUGAUUGCACUGGGCCUUAGAGAGGAAGUUCAGCAGAACAAGGUGGGAAGGGCACGAUAUCAGAGUAAGAGGCACUGAUGGUGAACAAAUAUAGAGACUGGAAUCCAGUGACGUCACACAGGCGCUCUGGAAGCCAGUGAUGCAGUAUCAGAAUCUGGGAACACAAUGAGGCAAUGUUUCAGCUGCUUGUGCAUUCUUCACCUCCCAUUGUCUCUGUCUCUCUCUUUCUCCUCUGCUUCCCCUCACCCCACAACCAAAGUCAAGAGCGCAGACCCCAUGAUCACCUGAUACUUCCAAGCAAGCAGGUGUUCUUUUCAGAAGCCAGAAGCUGAUAACCUGGGCUUUCUGAUCUAACCCCAGCCCAAAUUCAUUGCAAUGGAGGAAUUGGGGAGGAGAUUCUUCCUACUGAGAAGUGGGUGCCAACUCUCCCUUUCAAAUUUGUUCAUCAACAAACUAAAGGGGAUGCCAGAAAUGUCUGGAGCAAUGGAAGAACCACUGGAAUAAUGCUCCUGCCUGAUUGUAUCUACUUAACCCACUCUCCAAGAGCCAGAAUCAGAUUUCAACCGUAUGGAAUCAUCUACAAUGCAGCAGAUGGGUUUACAAGUCUCUUGGUCUCUUCAUGAAGAAGGCGCAGCAAUCGUGUCCCAAGUCCUUGAGGACUUCACAGGGUGUUCUAGUGUCCUGAGAAUAUACCUGCCUAAGGGAAGGCCAUCAAGGUUGAAAGUGGAAAUUUCCCAAGGUCAGAGACAGAGUGGUAGAGCCAGUCCAUGCAUUCUGGUCUCCUGUCUCCUGUUCCAGUGCUCAUUCGUGACACUGCUGCUCUCCCUAACACUUCAUCCCACGAGAAUACUCUUGAGAAUAUUGUUCUUGGCUGUUCCAAAUAGAAAGAUCA
rnacentral:lncRNA from 10 species